GGGGAUAAUUGGUUUUGACAGCAGGUUGAACAGGUAUGUAAGCACGCCGAGCACUGCAGAGACGCUCGUUAAUAUCGUCUGUAAAAUUAUAACUGGCAACUACAAUGUAGCUCUCGCCGCUUAAUCGAAGUAUAGUAGAUUAGCUUAGCGUCGGUACAAGGUACUGA
rnacentral:tmRNA from 1 species